CUUAAUCAGUGUUUGUGUGGGAAGGGUCGUUCAACAGAAAGUGUCUGAGGGACACUGAGGCAGUCUGUGACUUCGGGUUAAAACUUUUCCAUUUGCGGAGGUGCUUCAAGGCCUCUUCUCUCCUUACGCCACAGAGGAUGAGCAGCCUCCCCAACUUCAGCAUGAUCACAUGACUAAAUGAUGACAAGUGACAGAGGACAAGGAACACUUCCUCAGUAUUGGCUGGUGUGAGCACUGUCAGAGUCUCUUCCUAGCCUGGGACAAAUCGGACAAGCUUGGUUGGCUGGCCAGCAAGCCCCAGGGAUCCCCUGUCUCCUUCCCCACACUUCUAGGAUUACAGG